rnacentral:rRNA from 1 species
ACCCAGUCAGGAAUUUUUUCAAUGGGUGAAGCACUGACUCAGCAACUCCUCGUGAGUGAAGAAGGCCCACGGGGUGGUUAAACUCCGUCAUUGGGAGGAAAUAAAUUUUUUUUAAUAGAGGGUUGGAAUUGACGGUACCCGCGGAGGAAGCCCCGGCUAACUCCUUGCCAGCAGCCGCGGUAAUACGGGGGGGGCGAGCGUUAUUCGGAAUUAUUGGGCGUAAAGGGAGCGUAGGCGGUUUUUAAGUCAGAUGUGAAAGCCCGGCGCUCAACCCCGGAAGGGCAUUUGAAAACAGCAAGACUUGAGUAUGGGAGAGGGAAGGUGGAAUUCCUGGCGUAGAGGGGAAAUUCGUAGAUAUCUGGAGGGAACACCCAUGGCGAAGGCAG